rnacentral:rRNA from 1 species
UACGGAGGGUGCAAGCGUUGUUCGGAAUCACUGGGCGUAAAGGGCGUGUAGGCGGUCCGCUAAGUCUGAUGUGAAAGCCCGGGGCUCACCCCCGGAAGGGCAUUGGAAACUGGCGGACUCGAGUCCCGGAGAGGAAGGUGGAAUUCCUGGUGUAGCGGUGAAAUGCGUAGAUAUCUGGAGGAAUACCGGUGGCGAAGGCGGCAUCCUGGACCAUUACUGACGCUGAGGCGCGAAAGCUAGGGGAGCAAACGGG